rfam:Oryctolagus cuniculus unplaced genomic scaffold chrTn0033, whole genome shotgun sequence.
AUAGGUUUUUGCUCAUGCACCAUGGUUGUCUGAGCAUGCAGCAUGCUUGUCUGCUCAUACACCAUGGUUCCUGAGCAGGAAUCUUC